UUAUUGCUGUAAUGUAAGUCGCUUUGGAUAAAAGCGUCUGCUAAAUGACCUAAA
rfam:Gasterosteus aculeatus cont1.007357, whole genome shotgun sequence.